GUCAAUUAUUUAUAGCCUCUGGCUAUAGGAAAUUGUUAGUGGCAGACGGGUGAGUAAUGCGUAGGAAUCUACCUAGUAGUACGGAAUAGCCAUUAGAAAUGGUGGGUAAUACUGUAUAAUCCCCGAGGGGGAAAGAUUUAUCGCUAUUAGAUGAGCCUACGUUAGAUUAGCUAGUUGGUGAGGUAAUGGCUUACCAAGGCUAUGAUCUAUAGCUGGUCUGAGAGGACGAUCAGCCACACUGGAACUGAGAUACGGUCCAGACUCCUACGGGAGGCAGCAGUGGGGAAUAUUGGACAAUGGGCGAAAGCCUUGAUCCAAGCUAUGCCGCGUGACGUGAAGAAGGCCUUCGGGUUGUAAAACUCUUUCAAUAGGGAAGAUAAUGACGGUACCUAUAA
rnacentral:rRNA from 1 species